AUUGAACGCUGGCGGCAGGCCUAACACAUGCAAGUCGAGCGGAUGAAGGGAGCUUGCUCCUGGAUUCAGCGGCGGACGGGUGAGUAAUGCCUAGGAAUCUGCCUGGUAGUGGGGGAUAACGUCCGGAAACGGGCGCUAAUACCGCAUACGUCCUGAGGGAGAAAGUGGGGGAUCUUCGGACCUCACGCUAUCAGAUGAGCCUAGGUCGGAUUAGCUAGUUGGUGGGGUAAAGGCCUACCAAGGCGACGAUCCGUAACUGGUCUGAGAGGAUGAUCAGUCACACUGGAACUGAGACACGGUCCAGACUCCUACGGGAGGCAGCAGUAGGGAAUAUUGGGCAAUGGGCGAAAGCCUGAUCCAGCCAUGCCGCGUGUGUGAAGAAGGUCUUCGGAUUGUAAAACACUUUAAGUUGGGAGGAAGAGCAGUAAGUUAAUACCUUGCUGUUUUGACGUUACCAACAGAAUAAGCACCGGCUAACUUUGUG
rnacentral:rRNA from 1 species